CUAAGCGUACAUGUAUCUGCUCAUGGUGAUUGCACUUUUGCCAAGGCUUCAAUCAACACUCAGUAGCUUGUAAAAAAUUUAAGGAACUGAUGUUUAACAGUUGACCAGUUAAAUAAAGUUAGAUUUAUAGUAUAUCAGAUAAAAUGAAAAUAAAGAAAAAGAAAAAGAAGAAAAAUAAAAUGGCUGAUAUAUAUUCAACUUGCAGAAACUAAUUCCGGCCAUAACGUCACAAAGA
rnacentral:lncRNA from 1 species